rnacentral:rRNA from 1 species
GACGAACGCUGGCGGCGUGCUUAACACAUGCAAGUCGUACGGUAAGGCCCUUUCGGGGGUACACGAGUGGCGAACGGGUGAGUAACACGUGAGUAACCUGCCCACAACUUUGGGAUAACGCUAGGAAACUGGUGCUAAUACUGGAUAUGUGCUCCUGCUGCAUGGUGGGGGUUGGAAAGCUCCGGCGGUUGUGGAUGGACUCGCGGCCUAUCAGCUUGUUGGUGGGGUAGUGGCCUACCAAGGCGGCGACGGGUAGCCGGCCUGAGAGGGUGACCGGCCACAGUGGGACUGAGAUACGGCCCAGACUCCUACGGGAGGCAGCAGUGGGGAAUAUUGCACAAUGGGCGCAAGCCUGAUGCAGCAACGCCGCGUGCGGGAUGACGGCCUUCGGGUUGUAAGCCGCUUUCAGCAGGGACGAAGCUUUUUGUGACGGUACCUGCAGAAGAAGCACCGGCUAACUACGUG